CCAAGUCCCCCGUCACGGUCCUGGACACAUGAGAGCUCCAAGCUCUCACCCUGAUGGAAGGGCCAUAUCGCCUUAUAGUAUAAAUACUAUCCGUAAAUAAACUUCCGAUCCGUUACGAUGGAUCCUCUGACGCAGGAGGCUUGCUUCGCUUUCAGGACUGCCUCCAUCGAUCAUGUUAGGAAAUUAAAGCCUCUGCCUUUUGUGAUAUGGGUAUUUUCUACUCCCUCCGUUCCAAAUUAUAGGUCGUUUUGACUUUUCUAGAUACAUAGAUAUUAUUAUGUAUCUAGACAUAGGGUAUAUCUAAGUGCAUAACAAAGUCUAUGAAUCUAAUAAAGUUAAAACGACCUAUAAUUUGGGACGGAGGGAGUAGCUGCUUAGCAGGGAGAUGAUCGUGUAUAGUAUGUUUGUGUACCACCCUAGAGGAGGUUUGUGCCCCUAAUGACCACAUGGUUUGCUAAUAAGCACAGAACUGAGUAACCUUGUGUUGGUAUACUAUGCAUACGCACACUAGUGAUGUGUUUACCUCAAGAUCCUCUUUUCCCUUGUGAUGAAAUGAUGCGGACUGUUACGGUGGAGUGCUUAUAAAUAUAUUUCUCAAUGUACUAUAUUAUUCGUCGAAAAAAAAAAUAACUGUGGGCCAACCAUCACGUCAACACACCAGGCUGCAAGCCCAUGCCACUCGCUAGGCCCAAAUACAGGUAAUUUAAAUGGCAGGCUAAACUCACAUUUGCUUGUCGGCGCAUAAGACUGACGAGACCCUGAAAAUGUUGGAUUCAUAGUCUCAAUAUAGCAACAUCAUGCAUGCGAAUAUUCUUUCACCUUAUCUUUCUGCUCUUUGAAGCACCGCGAUCAACAAGCUUUCUCUAUUUCACCUGCUGCUUCUGUAGAGCAUAAAAAGCCGACUCUGCAUGCAUGGAAAGGAAUUUGGCAGGUGUUUAAGGUGAUAGUAGAAACAUAUACAUUUCUUACAAAUAUUGGAACAGUAACAUGUUAAAAAAAACUUGAAUGAAAUUACCAUAGAAGAAUCAAAAACAUGUAUCUUUUGCCAGAUGAACCAAAUUUUGGUGUGUGCAUUGAUAUAGAUAUAAACAACAAAACAAAUUCAAAUUGCAACAGAAAUUUAAGACUAAUCUGCUAGAUAACCAGAGCUGACAGAGACUCUUUCUGCCAGCAGUAAGUAUCUGAGAAUUUAAUGUCUUUUGCCUGGGCAGGCCAAUGCGUGUAGAUAUAAAUAACAAUAAGCCCAAUAGCUGAAAAUGAACUAACCUGAUGCUCCUCUAUCACAUGACUCAAGAAACUCUUUGAGAAGUUGAUGAUAAAACUCAGAAUCAUCAAUAAGUUCAGGAUCACCUUCUACUAUGUGCCCCUAAUAAGUUACAGCAAGAAGGAGAAAUGAGGCCAGCAAAUGCAAUCCACAUAUAUAUCGUCUAACUGGAUAAACAAAAACAUUCUGAUAUCAAAGUUUAUGUGUCAUCUCAAAGGAAGAAAUGAACUACAAACUGUAAAAUUUCAGUAGUUUCAAGGAGACGCAGGUAGAUUUGAAUGAAUUUCAAGAGAAUGAGUAAAAUUCUCAAACCUCAGCUGCUCCAGGUUCUCCAGCAUCCUGAAAUGUAAAUGGCAAAAGUAACAUGCUAAUAGUUAACAAGGUGCGCAAAUAUGAUCGGUGGUCCUUUAUGCUAUGCAUCAAAAAUACCUCUCCGAAUACACUAACAGCAGAUUUGGUCAAGUGCAUCCUGUUAAUCAUUCGGCUUGGAUCUCUCAUGUAACCAGCAACUUGGUCACUUUGUUCUGUUCUCAUACAAGGGGAAAGAGUAGAGGCUUUAGAUCUAGACUUUUAAACAGUAAGAAAAUACCCAAAGUAGCUAAAUAAGUAUUCAGGCAACCUGAUUAAAUGCGUGCAGCUUUCCUUUCAGUGCAGCAGCACCCGUCGUCACCUGUUUUUCUUUUCUUUUCAAGCACUGAUGAUUAAUAAUGCAAAGUUUACCUUGUCUGCAAUCGCCGUACUUCUGACCACUCAUCAUUCUCUUCAUUUCAAGCAGCAGGGAUUUCUGACAUCAAGUCAAGUAUUUUUUUUUAACGAACCGCACAAGAUAGUGCGUGUUUCAUUGAUAUAGCAGAAAAAUACUACAGCCCUGGGAGGCCACAGGCAAGAAAAGGAAAUGAAAAGAAAAACAAAACAGACUCGCCCGGUUGGAUUGGGACAUCAACGCGGGUAACCACUCAACUCCAAACCGCCACACCAGACUAGAUGGAUUGGGACGUCAACGCGGCCUCACCACUCCACUCACCAUGGCGGCAUCCACCAACAUUCACGCUCAUGUAUUCGCCGAAACCUCUAGGCGUGGCCCUGCAUCGACAGGGAACCGAUAGAAGCAGACUGCACCACACCGAGAGGGUCACCGCCAUGCGGGACCCUCCAUUGUAGUGCCGUUGCAGCACCACACUCCACCUGACAGAGUGAUACCACCAAAUUCGGACCUUUCGCAGGCUGCCUCGCAGUCGCCACCACGAUAACACAAUGCGUGGGGGCCUCGCCACAUCCGCCAUUAGACUCCACCUCGCUCUCGUCACCUCAAAGAAACACCGCGCACGAGGGCCUUGCCACGCUCGCCACAGUACUCCACGUCACAGAUCCGUUUCUUUUCUCGCCAUCAGAGUGGUGAGCAAUGUUGCCCCGCUCCACAAGAUCUCCAUCGAUCAGCCAAGCAGCCGCCACCACAGGUCAACUUCACCUCGUUACUUCACCCACGCAAAAGUCUCCGCCACCAUGUCAGCAAGCCAGAGAAGUCGCUUGCGCCGUCUUCCGACGAUAUACCGCACCGGGUAGCCCAGCCAAGCUGAGCAACCCGCCAUGGUUCGCUGCAAGCCUAGUUGUCCCACGAUGCCGUAGCCGCAAGCGCCAUCCUCCGACGCAGUCCCACGCCAGCCGCCACGGUCCGCUGCAAGUAGCCAAGACUGCGACUAUGUGACAACCCCUGGCCGCCACCAUAACUGCGAUCGCCUCCAUGUGGCCUCAACAACACCCGUCCAGCUUACCACGCGACGGAAUUGCCGCCACCAGCUGCGGUCGCCCAUGACCAAUGGACUAGCAAUGCCACAAACCGAGAUGAGUAUCUAGAGACGACACCUUCAAGGAGGGCACGACGCCAAUGGCGCCGCCGUCGCUCGUCCAGGAUCUAGACAGAAUUUUCACCCAGAGGAUCCCGUGUAGCAUGGUUGUAGCUCAGACAUGACAGCCCCAACGGGGAGAACGAUGCCCUAGGGUGCCGCCGUCAUCUCCACCAACAAGAACACCAGCGCAAGCUUUCACCUGAAGCAUCCCAACCACUCGCUGCACGCUCACGGCUCGGCACUCCCGAACCACAAUCACGGUAGCCCAUCCGGGGCGGCGUCGCCGCCGCGCCUCCACGCACCACACCGCCGUACCCCCACUCCUCGCACGCGGCCACCGUCACACCACCUCACCAUCACGCGUCGUCGGGCGUCUCCUUGAAGCGUUGCCACCUUACGCACAUGCCUCGCCGCGUGAGCCCCCACCAGCGCCUAGCCGCCUCCCUCUCCCGCGCCGCCUCCGCAACUCCCCAGCUGAGGAGAGGUGGCCCGACGACGCCCGCAGCACCACCUCGGUGCCACCAGUGCGCCCCUGACCAGGCGUCCUUGCCGCGCCUCCAUGGUGUCACUGGCACGCCUUGCACAGGCCACCUCGGCUGCGACACCACACCGCCACCAUUGAAGACACAGUAGCUGCCGUGUCACGCAGGCGGGAGAAGAGGAAUCCGCGGCCGCUGUUGCCGCUAGCCCCGAGCAGCUGCGUGCGCCAAACCUAGGUCUCGGCCACGGUCCUUGCGCCACGCUCGCUCCACGCUCCCCGCCAGCCUAUCGCUCGCCCCACAUUUGGCCGAGACCGCGCUGCCGCCGUGCAGCCACACGCCGGACCGGCCGCCCUCCGUCCACUACCGCUGGCCGGUCCGCUCCUUCGAUAGGCUGCGCGCCGUCGCGCACGCGCGGCCUCCGCUUCCUCAAUCAGCUGCCGUUGUUCCUGCACGGGGCUGCCGCCGCGUCAUCGGCCCCCUCCUCCCGCAGCCGCACUUGGCCACUGCCUCCGCGGCCUCCUAGAUCCGCCUGGGCGAGCCGCCGUGGUUGCCGCAUCUCCUCCCCUCACGCAGCGCGCUGCUGGGCCGGCCAUCGCCUCCUCACCUCUACGCUCGGGUCCAACCUCCGCCUCCCCGAGCUGCCACCUUGACCGUGGCAGCACUCGCCUAAGAGGCCCGUCGCCGACCGUCGCCCCCCGCGCCUCAGGGACCAAUCGCCUCGGGGGCCUGUCGCCGACCAUCGCCCCUCGGCGGCGGCGGAUCCGGCCUCAGGCACACCGGAUCCGCACCCGCCGGUGCCGGAUCUGGCCAUCCUCGCCGGCGCCGCCACGGGCUGCUCCUCCGACGAUCGAGGCGGCCACGCUCGCCUAGCCACGAAGGAGGGGAAAAAGGUCACCCCACCGCCGCCGUCAUUGCGGGCCUCUCAGCCUUUCGGCGGCCGACUCGAGCGGCAGCCUGGCGAAGGGAAGGGAGAAGGGAGGGAGUGGGAGGUGGGGCGGUGUUCGCCCGCCCGUGUCGCCCACGCGGGGGUUCUUAAUGUUUCGCUAUCAAGUCAAGUAUUAUGAACAUAUAUAAAUGGCAUGCCACAGUUUUUACAGUACAACAAGACUGUUUGGAGAGUAGGAAUACCAUUGGCAUCCUGAUUAGUCUCCAGCAAAGCCUAUAGGUAGUCUCAGAGAAAUACAGUAAGAAAUCCUUCAACCAUAUUGAUCAAAAACCAUAGCAUUGAAGGAAAUAUAAGGUAUGCAACUAACAGAACCUCCUGCAGUUUCAUCAUGCUACCCAGAGUCUGCUUUGACGAAUCGAACAAGUCCCUAUAGGCUUGCUCUACCUCCUUAUCGUGAUUGCAAAACCUUGCCUUGAUGAGCUCCUUCAAGAGAUCACAAUCAGAAUAAAUUUGAGCUUAGGAUUCAACCUAGUGAAAAUCCUGCAUCAGAAAGGGGAGCGGUUAUGGGGGGAAAACAAGGAGAUGCUUGCUGCAGCAAUCAGGGAGUGAGACCUGGGGCAACUUGCUUGUUAGAAGUGGAGAAUGCUUUCUGCAGCAAGAAUCCCAUCUCCAGAGUCUUGUCCCAUAUCGCCUUCAGGAACAUAGCUCGAAAGGUGAGAAUUUUAAAAGCAAAUAUAUCUAGCACACUGACGCAACGCUGUCGAGUUAACAAGGAAAGCAAAGGAAGGUAGAAGGAGGCUCCGCACCUUCUGUUGUUUACCGCGCGCCCUCUCAAGGCAUCCUCCUCCCUGUGCUGGUUCAUCAUCUUCAAGCUCUCUCUACACACGGGGCGAGCUUCAGUUCAAGAAUGCCCAAAUAUUUUUUGGGUCCCCUUGGCUAGGUUGAUCUCGACCCCUACAACGAACUGAUUAACUGAACCAGGGGAUAGGGUUUUGAGUGUUCGAUUUCGCACAGCAGGAAGGGAAGGGAAGGAAACGUAAUAGGCGGGCAGACCUGUCGGAUGCUCGUCGGCUCGUCGCCGGCGAAGACCUGGCCAAGGUGACGGCUCGCCCUGUCGCCGCCGCUAGGAAAGAAAGGCCGAGGGUGGUGAGGAGCGAGAAAGGCGGGCCUUCAUCCUGGGCCGGAAGGCCUGGGCGACUAUGCUCGCGCAGUCGGGUGGGCCGAUGGAGUGAAUCGGCCCAAUGACAAUUUGAUUAUGAAAUUUAAAUCUAAAGGAAUAAUAUUUAGGAGGUUAAGAGGAUAAAGUGUAUUUUUAAGGGUAGUAAAAUGAUUUUUCACCCUACUUAAUAACUUUUGAACCGUCGUCAGUUUGAGCGGCGACACUGUCACACCUUCAUCACCAAAUCUCAAGUAUUUUAGGUUCAGAAGCAUCGCGGUUUGUUCAUCAUAAAAUCUUAAGUGAUCAAAACAUCUUCAUUUUCUCCGUAUCUACAUGGUGUGUCCAGAAUAAUAAACUAGUUCUUCUGGCUUCUCGUUUUCUUUAAAAAAGCAGCUCCAUCGUCAUCUCGAGGGUUCCACAAAAUUUAACAGCGUGACAUUUCCUCUUGGACUUCUUGUUAGGAAAAGGAAGCAGAAGCAGUGAUUUACAAAUUCUACAAACACAGCCACGCACAGGCGCUGACAAUCUCUAAACUGCAGUUACAGCUCAGUAAUUCACCAGCAAAACUGACAAUGAAAGUUGCAGUUUUUCUUUCACACGAAAAUGCAGGCAUUUGAGUGGCCUUAAACCGUUCCUUUUCUUCUCCUUUCUCAGAAAGAAAGAGACCUCAUUCCCUAGUACUCUGUUCUAGUCGGCAAAGACCUUGUCUUCGAGCUGGAAGGCCUUGGUGAAGAAGGCCGGCCAGCAGAGGUAGGUGGAGAGGAUGCUGCUGACAGUGGAGGCACCCAUGAGCAUGUUCAUCACCACGAUCUGCAGCUGGAUGGCCUCCAGCGGCGACGCGCCGCCCAUGAUGAGCCCCGUCAUGGCGCCCGGCAGCGCGAUCAGCCCCACCGUCUUGGCGUUGUCGAUCACCGGGGACAGCGCGAUCACCAGCGACCUCUUCACCUGCUGCAGUGUCGCCUGACGCGGCGUCGCACCCAGAGCAAGUGCAGUCUCCACCUGCAGAGAGGAGGGAAAAAAAAUAAGAUGCCAAUGAAUCUUCUCCAUGCUCUAGUUGCAAACAGAACAUUAUAGAUUCUCAACAUCAGCAGGCUGAUGGUGGUGUUCAUCAGUCGUCACCCAAUUGAAGUCAGCUCUGUCGUGUCGUGCAACUGAUCAGCCUAAUUGACUAAUUAUUAAGUGCAUUAUGAGCCAGUCAGAGCUGUUCCUGAUGUAACAGCUUCUGACUUUCUUGUCCUUGCAGUAGUGCAAUUCUUGGGUGUCUCAGGACGAAGAAGAAUUAGACAAGCAAAUGGGCUAAAAAAAAUAAGAAUUAAGCAGUAAACAAGUGGGGAGGGGGAUCCAAAUAAGCUCGGAGCUGACCAGGUUCCUCUGGAUCUUGACGUCCUCCCUGAGCUUCUUCAUGGUGACGCCGGUGACGGUCAUGGCGUUGCCGACCAUCAUGCCGGCGACGGGUAUGAUGUAGCGGGGCGUGAAGGGGAAGACGUUGAGCACGACGAGCAGGAACAUGGUGAUGGCGGUGCCGACCAGGAUGGAGACGCAGGCGAUGUACUUCCCGCGGGGGACCUGCUUCGCGCGUUGGCCCGCCGUGUAGCCCGCAACCGUCACCUGCACGACGUGUUCGAGGUGCUGUCAGCCACGUUGAACGCGGGGCUAUGGACAUUUGAGCGGUUCCAUGUGCCAAUCACAGUGACUAACGAAUCUGAAUUGAAACCAAAUGCAGAAAUUAUGGUGAGUGGGACUGUGAGAGUGACCCAUUGUUGAGAGCUUGUUAGUGCUGAUGACCUGAAUUAUUGAGAUGAUGGGGUAAUUUGCUUUGACUGGGAUCAAACUGGACGAAAUCGAUCAUUUGUCUUGUACUUGGGGGACGAUGAAUUCAGUAGCAGCGAUGUCUGUCAGCAAUGGAUCUGUGUGAUUACCAUGAAGAGGUAGGCGAGGAGGAUCCAGAGCGCGUUCUUCUGGGUGAAGAUGAACUGGAGGACGAAGCCGAUGAUGGAGAGCUGGAGGAAGGCGCGCGCGAUGGCGUAGAGCAUCUCGCCCUCGAGCCCCAGGCGCUGCGAGAAGCUGAGCGCGACGGCCAUGGCCACCACGGCCGUGGCCGCCACCGGCUUGAGCAUGCCCACCAGGAAGUCCCGCCAGAACCCCGGCGCGCCCGGGUCCACCUGCUUCGCCACCAGCUCCAGGAACGCCGCCGCGCGCUCCAUCACUGGCCGGGUGGAACGGAGCCUCCUCUGCCGACGCGGGGUGCAAAACGCAGUUGUCAGUCGGCCAAGAAAGCAGGGCCUCAGCGGUGGGGUCUUGAGGAGGAGGGAGGUGGUGGCGGCGGUGGGGGAAGGGGGGAAGUGAGGCAGGCGGCGGCGCGGUGGAGGUGGAGGCUGGUGAGGUGCGGGACCGUACGGCUUUGUACCGUAGCGGAGCACGCGCUCCCCUGGGCAAAGUCUUCCUGCGGCUUUGCCUUCCCGGUGCGACGUGGGGAAGGCUGGGGAUCCCGAGAGACACAUACGACCGGUGAUGUCCGCCGCGGCCCCACAUGGCGGCGUGCUACCGCACCAGUGGCGCAUGUGCCAGCAGGUAAGGUACGUCCGGGUCCAAGCGCGGUCAACUCGGCGUCGCCGGCCGGAGGCAGGCGACGGCGGACACGUGCCACCCACGUGUCCUAACCGGUAGGCGGCUAGGCGCAUCGCCCACGCAGGCCUGCCUCGGUGCCGUGCGUGUGCGUGAGGCCGGCCGCCGGUGGCUUUUCCGUGCAGAAAGCUGAUCGAUCCGUUCAGUCUUCAGUGGAGGUCACGAUAAAAAGGCACUCAGAGCAAGCAGGCCAAAAGAUACGCUGAUAUGUGGGAUGCCCACUUCCCUAAGCAUCAGACUCCUGUUCACAAACGCUUUGUAAACAAAUCAAUCAACCUUGGGAGUUGGGACAUCCUCAGCAUCAUCAAACCUUGAUCUACAGAACACAGCAAAUCGUCAAGAACAGAACCCACCCUUCUUCUGGUUGAGGCUCCAUCUGCUGUCAAGCAUUUUCAGUGGCCUCCUGGCUCCUGCACAUGCCACCGCAAAUCCAGGCUCAUGGAUUCCUAUUAUAAAAUAACAAGACGCCAGCCAAACAAAGAUAUCAGCCAUCAUGUCAGAUGGGACACUUGGAACAAACUAAUCAUGGCGCAGUCAAGUUAAGCCAGCAUGAAUCAUGACACUUUUCAUAAUCCAGAAAACAGGCCAGAGACCUCUCAGCUCUUGAUGCCCAGCUGCAUCACCUCAAAAAUUCUACUGCCAUCUAGACAGAAUCCAUCCGGGACAAGAGUUUUCAAGUACCAUACUUGAGACGAAUAUGCAGUAUACUGCGAUUAUCUUUUUCUAAAGCAAGUAAACAAAAUGUAGACCAAUGAGAUCCCUCAAACAAGAACUCUUAGAACAGUUAGCCUGCUAAACCGAGCGGUUUCUUAACCAUGGUGGAGCGCAGAUGUAUCAAAGCUAUUUGCUAUCCUUGUUCUUGCCGUCCCCGGGCUUCUUGUAAGAUUCUUCAAGUUUUUUCGCCUCGCCCAUCAGGCCCUUCAUAAAAAGCUUUAUGUUUGGGACGUUGUAGUUCUGAGCGAUGUAGAUGCCGCAGCCGGUGCCGAUCAGCAAGGAGAAAGUGCUUUGCAGGAACCCCAUCAGAACUGACCUGCAGGGAGGAAAAACAAAGAAAAGGUUGUAAAUAAAAUGAGCAACUAUGAGAUACUGAGCUCAAUCUAACUUGACAAAUCGAUGCAGCAUAUUAAGGAGGAUUCCCCAAAUACCUAAACAAGCUCUGAGAAUAGUUUUUCUUUGAGGGCUGAGUAGUUAGGAUUAGGAGCUGUGUAUCAAUUAGCAAACUAAAAAAUGCACAUGUGCUGCUGAAGUUCUGACUUUAUUGUAUUAUUUCAGAGUAAAUAGCAUGACAAGGAACCAGUAAAAUUUGGUAACAAACAAAAUUUUCUUAUUUUGAUCCUAUUAUUAACGUUUUCCAUCAACAACAGCAAGUUAUCCACCUUUAUGCGCACAACAACAUAUUAUCUGAAGAACAGCGAAACAAAUCAAACAUGAAUUAAAUUGCUAGAAAUUGAUUGCUCUGAUUAUACCAUAUUAAGUUUCAGAAUCAACUAUAACUUCUCAUCAUAACUGUAAAGGCUAGAGUUAUAAACAGACAAUUUUAGCAGCAAAAAUAUUGUUCUGAAAGCACAGACGAAUCAAACAAAAAACAGUAUGGCCAUACAUGCGCACAUACUAGCAACUACGUGUUUCAACCAUAUAAUGAGAAAUAAUCAAAAGGCCUGCCCGAAUUCCUCAUGCACCAUGUUAAGGCCUUUUAACAACUCAAGAUUCGCCUUAGAUCAGACCAGGGACAAAGACUACAAAACGGAGUGGCAGGAGGCAACCAAACUAAAUUAAUGCCCCUCCAUGCCUCCAAAUGUUAAAGACUCCAUGAGAAACUGGAUAGAUUCCCCUUCUUCAAUGGUAUAUACAUAGGCAUAUAGCUUUUCAGUAAGCCAAUCAAAAAGUAAGAUGCAGUAAACUAAACCAGUUUCACAGAAGACAGAACCUCCUAAUCAAAUAGUUCAUUAACCUGAGCACUGAAUGCCUAUCAAACUACUGCUAGUGCCUCGAAUUUCCAAUGUUAAUCCAAUAUCCAAAGUUCCUCUGUUUACCCCCACUCCAAGGUCUAUAAAUCUAUUCCUUAUUGUGAAUCAAAUCAAACUACCAGAAAAAUGCAGGCAUACUAGUUUAACUUGGCUGAAGCUGAAACUGAAGUACCCCGCAUCUCCGAAAUCGAUUUCACAUUCUCAAACCAGAUCUACACAAGCUGACAGAACUUCAACACCAAAGGAGCGACAGCCCAUGAUCAGGAUUAUUCUGCAAUAUUGCAAUACGUGUUACUCCUCGCACAAACAAGCAAAAAAGAAGUACUCUACAUUGCAGCACCGAACAGCACAAUUGACAAAAGUAUUAGGGAAAAGCUACCAUGACUACAGUCAGCUAGGAAGGAUCUGUUUGGGAGCUCAUAGGCAACAGCCUGUAGAAAUUUUAACUAGAUUUGCACUAAUUGCUCCGGAUCAGCUAAAUCACGGUGAGCAAACUAAGUUAACAGUGAAACACCACAGCAAACAAAGCAGGAUAAUGGUUAUUUACUCCUAAAAAAGUGAGAUUAAUCUACAUUGCAUCACCGAACAACACAAUUGCCGCAGGUACUAGGGCCAACUGGCUAAGCUGCGAGACAGCAAUCGGCUAGGGAAUAACAGAUUUUUCACUAGAUUUGAACUAAUUGCCCGGCGAAUCGAACAAAUCAUGCAGAAACCAACUGAUUGACCUAGCAAUCAGCAGCUGAAGCUCGAGAUCAGCGCACCAAAAAUCGACUUCCGCCUCGGAUCAAUCAGCAUCUACGAACGGCCCCCGGACUAAGGAGAGCAGCCGCAGCAAGGGGAGGAAAGAGGUGAGGCUUUUUUACCUUGGGGGAAGAAGAACCCGAUCGCUCUGGCGUGCGUGCGGCGGAAGCGGGGUUGGGAGCCGAGGUGCCGAGGGAUCCGGCGACGGGCGCGAUCGAGGACGAGGAACGGCUGCGGAUUGCUUGGAGCCCGGCGAUCGAUCGGCCUCAUUACCAGCCGUGUCCAAGUCCAAGCCGACUUCCUACAACACCAUGGGCCUUUUGUUUGUUUCAGCGGCUACACAUUGGGCUUAAUAUGGGCUUGGUUUGGAUCGGCUCCCUAUAUGGGCCACGACUUUUGUUCGGUGGGCCGAUUCGACUCGUGUCGUGGUUAUUGCUGCUCCCGGUUGUUUCCCACUGUAUAUUUUCCUACGCUCUCAAAAAAAAUUGUAUUUUCUCCUCUAUUACUUUCCUUCAAGAAGAAGAAAACCCGUGAUGAUCCAUGCGUCUUUAUUUCCCCAAGUACGCACGCAUGAAAAAAUAUUUUUUCCGUAAUAAAUGUUUAAAAAUAUGGAAAAUUUAUUAUCAAGAUUCAAAAUUUUCACAUUUAUUUUUUUACUAAUAAAACCUCCAUUCUCCAUGCAGUAUUUUGUAAACUUAAGAAUACAAUUUGUUAACGUACUAACCGUGCGAGGGAUAAUGAUGAUUAAGCGGCUAAUAAGCCACAAACGACCAGCCAAAUUAAACAUGCCGUAUUGUUGUCGUCUAAUCGGUCCUUGCUAUUAGAAAUGCGUGGCCCUGGAUUAAUUGGAGGCAUCCUAGCUAGCAGCCGUACAUCUGUACGUCAGAACAAUUCCUUUUCGAAGAUCUGUACGUACGAACAUGCACGCACGUACUUUGCAAAAUGUCGUCGGGGGUAUACACGUACUCGGCCCGGAUAUAUGCCAACUUUGCUAGCUUGAUUAAGGAAUAUACUAAUGCUAAGAUGGAAAUUACUUGUUAACUGUAGGAAGGAAACAUGGAUUAACAUUUUUUUUAUUAUAAGGAAGGAUUAACAUCGAUAUCUGAUCGGAUCACCAAAUUGGGAACCUUUGGCGACGCGUGUAUGCAUGGAAAUGUUAUAUGAUCGGAAUCAUGAAUGAACCAAUCGUCAUCGUCAUGCACUCCGGUGACUAUCUGCCAAACGCCGCCGCCGCCGCCGCCGCCGCCGCAGCACCCAUCAAGCUUCUCCCACCACCCGGAGUUCCGAUCCGGCUCUGGAGGCUGGAGCAACCAACAACCUAGCUCCUGCACGAAUGUACAAGCAAGUCUGGCCUUGCAACCUUGCUCGUUUCUUAAUCAAAUCAGUGCGUGCUAGCACUACUUGCUUGCGCGUGUCUCAGAUUCAAAUCGAGAGAAGAAUAGCUAGAACAUCAGAAAAAAAAA
rnacentral:lncRNA from 1 species